rnacentral:rRNA from 1 species
GUGGGGAAUUUUGGACAAUGGGCGCAAGCCUGAUCCAGCAAUGCCGCGUGCAGGAAGAAGGCCUUCGGGUUGUAAACUGCUUUUGUACGGAACGAAACGGUCCUGGUUAAUACCUGGGGCUAAUGACGGUACCGUAAGAAUAAGCACCGGCUAACUACGUGCCAGCAGCCGCGGUAAUACGUAGGGUGCGAGCGUUAAUCGGAAUUACUGGGCGUAAAGCGUGCGCAGGCGGUGCUGUAAGACAGGCGUGAAAUCCCCGGGCUCAACCGGGGAAUUGCGCUUGUGACUGCAGUGCUGGAGUACGGCAGAGGGGGAUGGAAUUCCGCGUGUAGCAGUGAAAUGCGUAGAUAUGCGGAGGAACACCGAUGGCGAAGGCAGUCCCCUGGGCCUGUACUGACGCUCAUGCACGAAAGCGUGGGGAGCAAACAGGAUUAGAUACCCGAGUAGUCC